rnacentral:rRNA from 1 species
UACGAAGGGGGCUAGCGUUGUUCGGAUUUACUGGGCGUAAAGCGCACGUAGGCGGAUCGAUCAGUCAGGGGUGAAAUCCCAGGGCUCAACCCUGGAACUGCCUUUGAUACUGUCGAUCUGGAGUAUGGAAGAGGUGAGUGGAAUUCCGAGUGUAGAGGUGAAAAUUCGUAGAUAUUCGGAGGAACACCAGUGGCGAAGGCGGCUCACUGGUCCAUUACUGACGCUGAGGUGCGAAAAGCGUGGGGAGCAAACAGGG